AAUACAGGGGACUGCUUUCUUCAUUAUUGCUGUCAUCUAUUUAUUGCUGUUUUUUGACAGUGAUGAUCUCAAGGCUAAAACGGCUGAACACCCCAUUUAAUUAGGGUAGUUCAGGGCUCUAACUUACAUGCUUUACACAACCAUUGCCUUCUUAGACAUGGCAGAUAACAAGCAUGGAAUAUUAUUGCUAGUCUUGGCUUUGUGGUGUAAAGCUGGUUUUCAUACAGCUCCCAGAAAGCUCUCUAUAGACAUCAGUGGAGCCAAAAGUCUUCAAGCUUUAUCCCAUCUUAUUUCCUGCUUCUCUUGUGCCCAUGGGUCAUUGUCUUUCCUGUGACAACUGAGGUUAAAGAUAAAUCUUGGAUUUCUCCCUUUAUGGCUUCCACAAUGCUUAUCUUCUUUGUCGUAAUCCUGGAUAUCUACGUGGAUUCCAUUUGUUCAGUCAAAAUGGAAGUUUCCAAAUGUCCCCAUGAUUGAUCCUUUCCUGUUUUUAUUAGUGCUUUGGAAAUUUCUGAAUACAUCCAACAACAGUCUGACUUCAGGCUAUGAACAAAAUGGCAUACCAGGAAAGUGCAGAACACAUCCUGUCUGGAGGAGUGAUAGUGAGUACUAGGUCUUCAUUUUGUCUACCAACGUCUUUUCAUCUCCCUCUAAGAGAGGACGGAACGCUUUUUGCCUCUGUAGAAUCAUUCUAUGAUGUGUUGACCAGCAGUCUGGGUCUCAUCUCAGAUGUAUUUCACACACUCUAUGACAGAUGUGUUUUAGUCAUGAUAUUUAUUGCUGCCCUGAUGAAAAGAUGGAAUGCAAUGGGAUUUUUCUCCUAUGGGUGCACCCAAAUAGAAAUUCUCUCUCAAUUUAUUAAUAGACUUUUUCUUUUAUGUUCGGCAUCUCAGGGAUAAUUCUUCAUAAAAGGAAUAAACUGGUCACUCCAAUUUCUCCUAGCUUUGAAAGUCGUAGAGUCUAUUCUGCAGGACUAUUUAAUGAAGCAGUUUUGAAUGCAACAGGAAAAGUUCCAUGUAACAAAGCUUUCUGUUUCACCAUUUCAUCAUAAUGUAAUCUUUUUUAUUUGUACAGACUCGGGGUGUACAUUUACAGGUUGUUACAUGGAUAUACUUCAUAAUGGUGAGGUUUGGGUUUCUAUUAAUAGAUUUUUCUAAUGGCAAAACUUGUUUUUGUGUUAGUCAGUGGUUCAAUUGAUCCUCUAGGACUAGAUACACAUAUUAACACCAGUCUCAGCUACGGGGCUGGUAGUAAACCUGAUUGGUAUCUAUGCCCAUAACAAUACCUAUUGAGCUACUCAAUGAAGAUGUGACUCAUCUAAUCAUAGCCAUUAGUAUCAUAUACGUGGACACCAUGACUGUGAAACAGUUACAGCCAUUAAUGAGGCAUGAGUGCUAGAAGAAAGAUGUAUUUCCAUAUGUUUUGGCAGACACACUUGGCAAUGUGGGUGUGAUCAUAUCCAUUAUGCUCACAGAGCGGUGUGGGUGGCUUAUUGCUUAACUCUUCUAUUCUCUUUUUAUUGCCAUAUGAAUACCUCUCAGUGUUGUCCCAUUAAUUAAAGAUGCCUGUCAGUUUAUCAGGUCAUCCUUUUGAGACUACCACCAGAAUAUCCAACAGAUAUACAUACUUAUUUUAAAAACUGAGGCUUCAUAUUACACUGAGACCUUCACUUUUUGAUAUCAUUCUGCCACUAUUGGGACAGGACCAACUGAUAUAGAGGUGACAUCCAAUGUGCUGGAACAAAGAAUGGUACUGCAAGUUGUAGGAGUAAAGAUGCUAGAUUAAACAAUUUAACAAUUCAAGUGGAAAAAGGGUUACUUUCAACAUAUGUCUGAUCUAAGAACUGGAUUUUAUAAUGUUCUGGCUAUAACAAAACAAACGAAGAGUAUAAAGUACUGCAAAAGACGGUACUUACAUCA
rnacentral:lncRNA from 1 species